rnacentral:rRNA from 1 species
AUACGUAGGUGGCAAGCGUUGUCCGGAAUUAUUGGGCGUAAAGCGCGCGCAGGUGGUUCCUUAAGUCUGAUGUGAAAGCCCCCGGCUCAACCGGGGAGGGUCAUUGGAAACUGGGGAACUUGAGUGCAGAAGAGGAUAGUGGAAUUCCAAGUGUAGCGGUGAAAUGCGUAGAGAUUUGGAGGAACACCAGUGGCGAAGGCGACUGUCUGGUCUGUAACUGACACUGAGGCGCGAAAGCGUGGGGAGCAAACAGGAUUAGAUACCCUGGUAGUCCACGCCGUAAACGAUGAGUGCUAAGUGUUAGGGGGUUUCCGCCCCUUAGUGCUGCAGCUAACGCAUUAAGCACUCCGCCUGGGGAGUACGGUCGCAAGACUGAAACUCAAAUGAAUUGGCGGGG